CAAUAGGGAACGUGAGCU
rnacentral:ncRNA from 2 species